rnacentral:lncRNA from 1 species
UCGCUCUCUGCUGCACUUCGAUUAACAGCAUGGGCGAGAAAAUGCUGUUAUAUGGGACACUGCCGACGCUUGCUCUUAAAACGCGAUCCCAAUAAUAUGGCGUCAGAAGAAUAAAAAGUCCUUUUUGAUGGAAAAAGCAUAGAAAAACUCCAAAAGCACCAAAAUAAUUAUUUGGUGAUGGCAUACUUUGAGCUAAGCAAGAUCUGUACAAAUUGUGCACAAAUUGCAACUCACAGAAAAAAGACAGCCGGCAGUGAAUCCUAUCUUAAUAUUAUGAUUGGAAAAAAAAGUAUCUUUUUCCAAUUAAACCCCGUUAUUGAGAACUCUUCUAGUGCCGCCAUGAAUCCUUGAUGUUAUGCAGCAUCCCGAAAAGAAUAUCUGUGACAAUAUAUUCGGCCAGCGCUCGCUUCUAAUAUUGAUGGAAAAACAAAGACUAGUAUAAAUGCUCCGACUUUGACCCUUACAGGAAAUGGGCAGUGGAUCAUGAUUACACUCCUUUAGAUAACAUGAUGAUAGUUAGUGCUCAUUCACAAGCAUGUUUACCGUUAAGUUUGAAAGAAAAGCGACGAUGUAAAUGUGAACUGUUUACUUAAAUUAAAAAGUAAGAUGGAUAUUUUAGUCCAACAAUACUCUCGGUGUAAAUCAAUAAAGGAGGGAAAGCUUAUUUAGGAAUGAAUCUCAUGAUCUGUCAACUGUCUUUACUCCAAGAUCAUUUAGCAACGCCAACUUUUUCGUGGCAUUUUAACGAAAAGAGCGUAUUUGCAACCACUAGUAGUAAUUCAAGUUGUAUUGACUUUAAAGGAGUUAUGUUCGAAAACAGCCUAACGAUCCAGCAUGUGGUUAGAAAGAUUGGAGUAUACAUUAUGAGUACACUUUGCAAGCUUACGAAACGGCACUAUUUCCACCUGCAUUCUUCGAAAUUUCCAGCUCUUACAGCUCUUGCCUAUUCACCAUACCACAAGCAAGCAGAGGUUGGCCGGUCCGAUCCAUUAUCGUGCAUGGAUUUUAUCAUUGGAGAGGUAGCAUUACAUGUUAGCAAUACUAUUACUUAUUUAUAUUUACUUUUUUCUCCUUUCAUUUACUUUUAUAAAUACGAAUAUUCUUAAUUGCUUGGUGAUAGGUUCUCUGCGUCAGUUGAAGUCUUAUGUCCGUCCAAUGGAAACACUGUCCAGAAGGGAUCUACUUGGAAGGCUUAUAUUGCAGAGCGAAGUGGUUUAACCUUUUGUUCUAGGCUAUUUCAUGAAGUAGAGUCGAGAUCAAAAUUCCCAGUCCGACCUUGAGAGAAAUUUGAGGGUAAUGAAAUCAAAAAAAAAAAACAUCCAGAUACCAGAGUUAAUCCGCUUUCUUCGACGAAACGGAGACCCACAUUAAUAAAUGGAAACGGGAGUAUUCCAAGACUAACUUAUGAGAAUCGGCUCGUGGCACAACUUUAUGUGUUAAAAAAUUGUGCUGAAAGUUUCAACCCUUACUUUCUUGAGUAAACGCAUUACCUAUACAGUACCUUUUUAUUUGUCUUACCUAAUUUUCCUUUUUUAUUUGUUUAGUCUACUUGUAUCAAACAAUUCGAUAAUUUAUCUUUUUUGCUAAUUCCACAUAGACGAACACCAAGAGAACUGGAAAAGAGAGGAUUGUACCCUCCAAAUUGUGUCAGAAAUACAGGAUACAAACAUUCUGUUACAUGGGUUUAAAAAACACACGCGCGAGGUAAGUGGAAAAUGUAUUAGAUAUUAUCAUAUUUAUUCAGUAAUUAUUAUUAUUUCUAACUAUUCUAUAUACUUCUAUCCUUGUUACAGGCUGUACAUAUUCAUAUCAACCGAAAGUUACUGAAGAAAGGUAAGGCAAGAGAAUCUUUUGAAUUUAAGCUUCAUGGGUCCCAAUACAUUGAGCUAACUCACUAGUGGUUUAUAUACGUUACACCGGCUUUACCAGGUUUUCAGCAAACUCAUAAGCGUGAGGUUUUACCGCGUCCAAAAACCUCCAAAAAGUAAGUGGAUGUUUGUGGUUAAAGGGCUGAAUGCAGCAAUCAGAGGAAUCAGAGAUUAUUAAUGGAGGUUUUGCAGGAUAUUAUUGAAUUAGAUUUUAUGAUAUGGCGGAAAUAAAAAUAACAAUUCUUUUAAGUGUGACUGGUGGAAUAACUUAUGAAAUGAAGGGUUAGGGGUUUUCAAGAAGGAAAGGCCAAUGGAAUUACAGUUAUUACUUUUACUCGGCCUUCAAAAUGGCGGUCAAAUGAAAGCCUUAUUGUGUUAAGCCAUGGCAGAAGUGGAAAACAAGUUCUUAUCUAUGUAGUACGAUAUAAGCAAUCCUAAAUUGGCGACUCGUUAUCAAACACUAAUACCCUCUCACCUCGAAACUUUUAUCAUUUUUCCUAUUAACUCGUGAACGAGCUCAGCUUGGACGACGAAGGAUUGAUUUUAGAAACACGUUGGAAUAUGGAGGAGUUUACAUCACCCACCCAAUUUCAUCUACCAGAAUAUAUUCGUAGUAGCCUCGAUGAUGCCAUUAUUUCUUUUUUGACGGAAUCGAUGUUCGACGGCAUUAUUUUUUGAUAAGAACCAUGCUUAUUCAAAAAAUAAAUCCCAAGUUGGAGAAAAAAAUAAUACGCUUACAUAAAGAGCUUAAGGAGUACAUGAAAGGUGAAGAACAAAUGGCAAGAAGAGAAGAAUUGAGUAGAUAUGCAUGAAAUCAAUUGGUUAUGAAUACUUCAGUGUGUGGUAUGUUAUUUUAUCUCAUUUUUAUUAUAUGACCGCACGGCCGCCUCCUCCAUCGCUUCUCUAUAAAUUCCAUCUAUUCCCUUAAAAAGGCGAUUUUGUAUCUUAAUGAGAUCAUUGAUAAACGAUGAUUCAACUCUCGUUAAUCCGUAAAUUCCCUUCAAUCUUUUUCUAGAAUUUUCAUUUUAGAUUAAAUUUUUGUGUCAAUCAAUAAAUCUUUCUUCACAAUCUCCUACUAUUUAGUCUAAUUUUAUUCUCCUUAUUCACACCAACCCCCACACCUCUUGUUUUUUGAUUCUGUUCUUGAUAUUAUUCUCUCGUUAUCUGUUACAAACGGAGAAAUUUAACCUGUAUUCGGAGUCGAACUUCGGGAUCCUCUUCCCCCCCCGGUGCUCUCCUAUACAACAACUUCGUGAUCAUUUCAAUGCGUGGCGUUAUCGCUUGUAUAGAUUUCACUAUAAGAAGUAUAAGACUGAUGAGCAAAGGCGUGCUCAUUGCCCAAAUGACAUUGAUCAAGAGGAUUGGAAUUGGCUUAUUAACUAUUGGAGUGAUCCAAAGUUCAAGGUAAUAAAAAAUUUUAUAAUUUCAAAGUGUUUUUAAUUUUUUUUUUUUACAUUCACUAACUAUUUUUUAAAUUAAUAGCGUGUUAGUGAGGCAAACAAAGCAAAUAGAGCCAAACAAACUAUGAUUGCUCGUGUGGGUACAAUGUCUAUUGCUAGGAAUAUACAUAAAAUGGUAAUUCCUUGUGCCUAUUUAACAUCUAUUAAUUUUAUGUUAAAGAUAAUAUCUCAGUUUUAUUUUUAGCAUAUAAUUAUUAUCUAAAUUUUUUGUAUGUGAUUUCACAGAGGGAACCCAUAGAAAACUUAACACCAGAGCAAGUACAAGAGCUAGGGCAAAAGCCUGAAUAUAUGAGACUCUGGGAAAAGGUAAGAAGGAAAAGAGAUGGUAAUUGGGUUGAUAAAGAUGCUGAAGAUGCAUAUAAGCGAAUGGAAGAACUUCAUGGCGACCAAUUAAAACAGUACAGACAGGACACACUCUCUACAGAACGAGCAUAUACAUUAGUACUUGGCCAUCGAUCUAGCUACAUCCGUGGUAUGGGCUCAGGUCCUAUUCCUUUUGAAAGUGGCGGUACUAGAGGACAAAGGAUUCGUGCGCAAAUACGAGCAGAAAUAGAACAAGAAAUGGCUGUACGAAUUCAAACCGAAGUGGAAGAACGAAUGAGCCAAAGGGAAAGAGAAGCUGAGACACGAAUUGCUGAAAUGCAAGCACAGAUGCGUGCUGAGAUGCAAUCUCAGAUGCGUAGCAUGAUGGAGCAGCUUUCACAAAUGGGAUUGACCAUUCCUACUCAACAAGCAUCGAAAGAGAAUGUAAGUUAGUUUGUUUCUAUAAAAUGAGUUGAAUAAUUGAAAGUCAAAUUAUUUGGUGUAUUAGAAAUAGGUAAUUCUGUUUGUUAUGUUUAAUUUUAAAAUACAUACUUAAAGUGUUAAUCUAAUCUUAUAGUAUUUUUGACUUGAUAUGUUUUAAAUAUUAGUUAAUAGUAUCUUUUAUUAUUUUGAAUAAAUAAAUAGAUUAUAUUCAUAAUUCUAAUUAUUUUUUUUUCUCAUUAUACAGGAUUAAACCUACCAGCUCAACAUAUUGGACUUGGAUUGUCUCAAGAACUUUAUUUCAUUUUUUUUUUCUAGAGAUUUUUCUUCCUUAGUUCUAAAAUUUACUAGUAUUAGAUUAAAUUUUGGAUGGAAUUGAAACAUACAAUACUUGAUGUGAACAUUUGGAGUAGAUUCAUUUUAGUUGUGCUAAUUGAACUACUUUAUACUUUUUAGUGAAAAUAUCUUAAUUGUUGUGAUUGAUUGUUUGUUUAAAUACUGAUUGAGAAGUGUUUAUAAAUAGUUAUGACAUGGUGAUUAUGUGUAAAUUUUUUUUUUCAAUUACAAAUGUAAAACAUUAAAUAGUAUUGCAAAACUUCUGUGGCCAAAUAAUAAAUAGUCAUAAUUUGUUAUAUAAUAGUAAUCAAAUCUGAAAAUUUUAAAGUGACCGAAAUUAAAUUUUGCUACAAAUUACACAUAACUAUUUAUGUCCAAAAAUAAAUAUUGCUAUAAAAUAUAUAAUAUUAUUUGUAGCUAUAUAGAAUUUUGCCAUAAUAUAUAUUAAACUUUAUAUGGCCAAAUGUCAAAUUUUGUCAUAAAAAUAACAAUACUAUGUGUAGCCAAUAUUAAAAUUUGCCACAACAUGUAAAGGAUUAUUUAUGGCCAAACAGUAAUUUUCGCCACUAUAUGAACAAUACUAGUUGUGGCCAUUUUUAAAAUUUGCGAUAACAUGUAAAGGAUUAUUUGUGGCGAAACAGUGAUUUUCGCCGCUAUAUGAUCAAUGCUAGUUGUGGCUAUUUUUUAAAUUUGCCACAACAUGUAAAGCAUUAUUUGCGGCCAAACAGUGAUUUUCGCCGCUAUAUGAUCAAUGCUAGUUGUGGCCAUUUUUUAAAUUUGCCACAACAUGUAAAGCAUUAUUUGUGGCCAAACUGUGAUUUUCGCCGCUAUAUGAUCAAAGCUAGUUGUGGCCAUUUUUUAAAUUUGCCACAACAUGUAAAGCAUUAUUUGUGGCCAAACAGUAAUAUUCGCCACUAUAUGAUCAAUGCUAGUUGUGUCCAUUUUUAAAAUUUGCCAUAAGUUAUAUGUUACUAUUUGUGGCCAAAACUAUUUUGCUCACAAAAUAUCAUAUAUUUUCUUAUUAUUACUAUACAUAUUUAUGGCCAUCUGAUUCUUUAUUGCGGCGAAUUUGAAAACAGUUGUGUCCAAUAAAAUCGCCACAAAAAGUAUGUAUUUUUUGUCGCGAAAUUGUUUUGGCCACCAUAACCUUUUGUAGCGGUUCUACUGUGGCGACCUUGUAGCGAAAUUAUUGUCGCCACAAAAUUAUUUUUGUGGCGAAAAUUUAUAUUUUUGCGGCGAUUUUAUUCGCCACAAAAAAUAAAUUUUGUUGUAGUGUGCUUCGAAUUUUGUGCCCAAAUUUAUAUAAUCUUUUAAGAAUAGUAGGAAACAUUCAUCAAGGAUAAAAUCAGCUAUAUAAAUUAAUGAAUCUACAGUGUUGAAGAUGCAAGGUGGCAUCUUGGGGGAAAAAGUUUUUUUUUUUUUUUCAUCUUACUUUUUUUUCUUCUUUUUUCACUAAUUUUGAAACAAGAGAGUGAGAUUGGUUUUUUUUUUUAAUCCAAAAUAAUUUUUCUCUCUCAUUAUAAAAAUUUUAAAAUAUAUAAUCACUACAACAAAAACGGUCUAUAGCGACACUUUUAAAUGUAGGUAAUGUCAAAAAAGUGCUGUUAGCUAAAAUUACCGACACUUUUAAAAAGUGUUGCUAUAUGUGGGGUCGCUAGGUAUAUAGUGACAGUUAAAGAGUGUCGCUAUAACCUAAAAGAGUGCUGCUAAUUUACCAAUACUUAUUUAAGUAUUUAGCAACCGCCGAAACUCUACCUCGUUGGCUGCGGUGGCGGAGGAGGACGACAGGAAAGACUCUUCGUCUAGAAUUUCAGUGGAUUGAGUGAAGAGAGAAGAAAAGAUGGUAAUUGAUUUUUCUUUUUUUUUUUCUUUUCUGUUUAUAAUCGGGCCAAGUAGACUGGGUGUGGUGGGUUGAGUAGAGUAAUCUUUUAUUUUUGGUUGGAUUGAGCUUUAUAUUUAGGCAGUAGUAGAUAUUUUUUUAAGUUUUAGGAUAAAUGGACACUUACUCAAAAGUGUCCCAAACAUGUGUCCCUAUAAUGUAAUUCUGUUGUAGUGAAUAUUUUAUAUAUAAUUUUUUAAAUAAUUUAGAUUAUAUGUAAUAAAUAUAAAUUUUGAUUUUAUAAUAUUGAUUACUUAGAUAUAAAUUGUACAAUAAAAUAUAAAAGAAAAUUUGAUGAAGCUUAAGUUAAUAACGUAUUUUGAUUAAUUUAGUUGCGAGAAUUGCACACUUUAAUUUUAUAGUAGCGAUCAACUCGAUCUACAUUCAAAAUUUUCUUGAAUAUCCAAAAUAUAAUUGGUUGGCUUUUAAUUUUAACAAUUAGGUAUUCCAAAAUUUAUUAAAUAGUUUAACAAAUUUUUUUCUUCGAAUGAAAUUAUUAAUUGAAUAAAACCGAUCAAUGCUCAACUCUAUUUUCGUUUGGAAUAAAAAUAAAAGAUCAAAAGAUAAAUUAUACUUUUCGUCCUCAAAACUAUAAGACGAGUGACACUUUUGUUCUCGAACUUGAAUUAGUUAUAAUUUUUGGCUUGAAAUAUGAGGUAUACCAUUUUAGUCCUCAAUGUUUACCGCCCUAUAAAUAUAAUUUAUUAUUCUUAUGUUUUUGCCCUUAUUCUUUUUUAAUCAUUUUUAUAGUUGCUUCUUCAAUUACUUCUUUUUUAAAUAAAUCCUUGACUCGUUUUUUUAUGCUAUUUUUUUUAAUUUAAUUUUAUUUAUUUAUUUAUUUAUUUAUUUUUACGGAAUCAACCCGCUGCAAUGCCAGUGUCUUCACUAGUCCAAUAUUAAAGCUAAGUUAAGAGUAGCAAAGCCUACAACUUAAAUAUCAAAGUCCAUAAUGAGUUUUUUUUUACUCCUAUCUCAUUAAUUUUUGCUAAUGUAGUUUUAACAUUGGAAUAUAAAUAAAUUAAACAUGAGUUUCUAGAGAGGUGAAAACUCCCCUCUACCAUCAUAAUUCUCUUCUAAGCCAUGUUUUAAAUCGCUGUAUCGGGAUAUUAAUUAGGCCUGAGAUCGCUUCGACCGAAAAUAAUUCGUCUGAGCUCAAAAUAAAACUGAUUCCAAUCUCAUGGGGAUAAAUCUUAUUCCAUCAUAUGUAUAGAGUUGAGUUGGAAUGCUACAGGUAGCAAAAGGGCUCUAUUGUCAUCCAUUUGUUUUCGACAUGGAGCCUUCAAAUUGACGAUCGGCAUCGUUGAAAAUGAUCUAUACCACUUGAAAUAUUUAGAAAUUAAAUUUCAUACUUUUCCGACAUUGUUCUCUUAUCCAUCAAGUAGGCGUAAAAAUGAACGACUAAAAAUGAAUAUCCUCUAAAAAGUGAUGAUAGAAAUUUUGUAAUCAAGAUCGAGAGUACAGAUUUUGUUCUAAAUAGUUUAAAGAAUUUUCUAACCAAAAUUUAAUUAAUUCGGAUAGCUUUACACCGUUAAACAAGAAAAUGCCUCAUAUCUAUUAUUAAAAUUAUAAAUUUUGAAACCCUUUGAUCAUUAGGUCAAUUAUGUCGAAAAAAUUUGAAAAUUGAUUUCUAGAUAUUUUAAGUGAUAUAGAUCAUGUUCAACAGUGCCUGUUGGGUGUCGAAUUUCCCGACCUUUCACCCGGUCAAAGAUCCUCCUCGGGGAGCGCAUCGGGUUGAUGAACGGCUGCGGAUAGUGACCCUCGAAGUUUGUGCCCUUCGACAGAUCAAGCGAUUCAGCUGACGAGGGAUCGGAUCAGCCGAGUUCGAAAACCUUUACUGUAGAAUCGGUUCAGCUGGAUGAGCCGAAUGUAUGAACUGUGCAGGGAUCAAUGUCGGCAGAAGAGCCGAAUGGAAGAAGUACACAGUGACUGGUAUCGGCUGAAAGAGCCAAAUAGAUAAAAUACACAGUGACUGGUUGCACUACAACAGAAUUAGGUUAUAGGGACACAUGUUUGGGACACUUUUAAGUAAGUGUCCCAUUUAUGCUAAAACUUAAAAAAAUAUCUGCUAAGGCUAAAUAUAAAGCCCAAUCCAACCAAAAAUGAAAGAUUACUCUACUUAACCCACCACACCUAGUCCAUUUGGCCCGAUUACAAAUAGAAAAGAAAAAAAAAAAAUCAAUUGCCAUCUUUUCUUCUCUCUUCACUCAAUCCACUGAAAUUCUAGACGAAGAGUCUUUCCUGUCGUCCUCCUCCGCCACCGCAGCCAACGAGAUAAAGUUUCGGCGGUUGCUAAAUGCUUAAAUAAGUGUUCGUAAAUUAGCAGCACUCUUUUAGGUUAUAGCGACACUCUUUAACUGUCACUAUAUACCUAGCGACCCCACAUAUAGCAAUAUUUUUUAAAAGUGUCGGUAAUUUUAGCUAGCAGCACUUUUUUAACAUGCACCUAUAUUUAAAAGUGUCGCUAUAGACCGUUUUUGUUAUAGUGUCGGCUGAAAGAGCCGAAUGCCUAUAUAUAUAUAUAUUAAUAAAACAGAGUGUGCCCGAAGGGCAUACAAAUCCUGCAAAUAUAUAGUUUACAACAGAGUGAUGCCCGUAGGGCAGACAGACUCCAGAAUUUUACUUAAAAGCUACUCCUAGGAAAGCAGUAAAUGCGAAAAAAAAAGAUUACAUUUAGAUUACUCCUAGAAAGCAAUAAAUACAGGAAAGGAAAGAUAUGAAAAUGCGGUGGUCUUCUCGUUCAGGGGAGAGAAAGACCCUUAUUACAGGCUUUGAAGUUACUAUUUAUACUGAUGUCUUCUCAGCCCACAUUAUUGGUCGGUUGAAAGUAGUAGGGGGAGUGGUUGUAACCAUGAUCGUGGAAGUUACGCCUACUCCUCAUGAAAGUUACGCCCAUUUCUCAUGGAAGUUACGCCUACUCCUCAUGAAAGUUACGCCCAUUUCUCAUGGAAGUUACGCCUCCACUUCUCAACCGUUUCCGCCUAAACGCUCUUGACUUUCAGGCGCUUUAUUGCCGACUCCUGGUGUACCACGUGUCCUUAUUUCUUUGGCUCAUACGUGGGCUAAGUCGGUGUGUUAAUUUCAAUUUUGGCAUCAACAGUGCCGAUCAUCGAUUUGAAGGCUCCAUCAUCGAAAAUAAAUAGGUGGCAACGGAGCUCGUUUGCUAGCAAUAACAUUCUAGCUCAACUCUCACACACACACACACUCUCUCUCUCUCUCUCUCUCUCUCUCUCUCUCUCUCUCUCUCUCUCUCUCUCGAUCUAUCUUUGCAUCGUAUCUACCUCCUUACUCGGAUCUGAGUUUGGUGAAUGAAAUGCUGGGUUUUGGAUGGGUAUGGGUGAUCUUUGUGUGUAACUAUUAUCUGUUCCUUUCUAGGGUUUUUUACGUUGAAAUGAGUGGAGAUCCGCUCAACUAUAAGUCUCUUUGAAACGACCCCCUCAAUUUUUUUUUUCCUGCGAUUUUGAAUGAGUUUUGUCAAGUAUAUUAUGGAUUUUAGGAAAUUUCAAAUUGAACUCCCAAUAUUAAUGGCUAAUAAUUAAUAAAGCUAUCAAAUUUAAGAAAAUUACUUAAGGGCAUGUUUGUUUCGUCGUAAAAUCACCCCGAAAAUUUUUUUUCGGUAGAAAAAUAAGAUUCCGAGUGUUUGUUUGCUCGUAAAAAAAUUUUUUCGGAAAAUUUCUUUUACGAAUCCACGGAAAAAUGGUGUUUUCGUUUUCCGCUCGCCGCUUGGAACGACCGGAAAACGAAAAUGACGCCAAAAAAUAUGACAUAUUUAUUUUAUAUCUAAUAAUUUAUUUUAUAGUAUUAUAUAUUAUAUGACAUAUUUAAUUAUUACAUAAUAUAUUUUAAAUAUAUUUUAUUUAUAAAUGUAAUAUGAUANAUCAAAGAUAUUGACCUUGUUUUAUAUAGUAUAAAGAAUUUUCUAUCAAAAUUUCACGUGAUUUGGGUAUUUCUACACCGUUAAACUUGCAAACGGCUCACUACGACCAUUAAAAUGAUUGAUUUUGAGCCCCUUCGAUCACAGGGCAAAUGAUAUCGAAAAAUCAUAAAAUUUAUUUUUUAAAUACUUCAAAUACUUUAGAUUAAGUUUAACGAAGCCGAUCGACGAUUCGAAAAUCGCAAUAUCGAAAAUGACUUGGAAGUACGGAAGGCUCCGUGCUUCUAAAAGCAUAGUAGCUUCACUCUAUAUAUAUAUAUAUAUAUAUAUAUAUAUAUAUAUAUAU